GUGAAUCAUCAAAUUUUUGAACGCAAAUUGCACUCUCUGGUAUUCCGGAGAGUAUGCCUGUUUGAGGGUCAGUUAAAUUAAAAAUCGGUGUGGUUGCUGCUUUUCGUGGUGACCCACCGUAUUUGGGUGUCUUAGCCUUGGGUUAAGUGACCGAAAAUUUGGCAUGAUUUUUUUCGUAUGUAUUUAAAUGAUUUUACGUUCGUUUGCGAUAUCGUAUUCUAGUUGUGGUAUUCAUAAUGAUUCGCGU
rnacentral:misc_RNA from 1 species